UACAGAUUCCUAUACGGGGAUCAGUAAAAAUUUAUCCGCACUCCAGAUAUUUAAAAUUUCUGUCGGCCGUAUUGUCCCAUCUACACUCUUCAGAUGACGUCAGUAUCUGCUCAGUGACUACUGUGUAGGUUUCAUUGUGUUACGUCAAUUCAUUUGUACCGCUGCGCGAGUAACAAUGGCUGCCCCAGCUGUGAUUUGCAGGAAAACAGUGCAGAUUCGUUUCUUGCGGUCGGAGGCUAUGUCUAAUGCUUAUAUUUAUCAAAGACUUUAUGCACAUUAUGGAGAAAGUGUUUUAUCACGAAGUGUGUUUGAAUGGACACAGAAGUUCAAAGAUCGCAAAAGUGUCAUGAAAAAACAGCUGGACACCCGGCCACAUCCACGAUGACAACAUUGAACGUGCUCAUGAACAUAUUUUGUGGUAUAGUCGAAUGACACUGGAUAAUGUGGCAAAUCAUUUGCAAAUCAACCAUGGUUCUGCUUAUACGAUAGUCAACGACAGAUUUGGGUUUCAAAAAGUUUGUGCGAGAUGGGUGCCGAAAAAGUUGAUGAAGAAGUGAAGACGACGAUGCAUUCGUGGUUCGCAGCUCAGCCCAAAACAUUUUUUAAUGGGGAAAUAUGAAGAUCCUUCAGCAAAUGGACAAAGCGUAUACAGAAACUGGGCGAUUAUGUCAAAAAAUGAUGUACCUCUUUUUUGACAAUUGCUUAAAAUAACUUCUACACCGACAGAGCAGACUGUUAAUCUAGAGGCUGGUGUACAAAGAAGAAGUGGCACAAUGAUGUGGUCUGGUGACAUUUAUAAAUAUCAAAGAAUCACCCCUAUAUUCGCUCAGAAUUUUAAUGAAACUGUACCUUGGGAAGGAAGAACUGAUAUCUUGAUAUCAUGGUUUGUACAUCCUAUAUAUACAAUAAAUUUUGGAAUAUUAUAUAAUGAAGAACCAGAUUAUCAUGGCCAUGUGAUGUGAAUAAAAGGACCUGAAUUUGAUGAUAUUUUUAUAAUGUUAGAUAAUAUAACUAAGUAUCGUCACAUUAAGAUAGGAUGGCAUGGUUUACAUGAUCUUAAUGUUGUUCACUUGAGUGAUCAUAUUAUAAGAAAAAGUUCAAUAUCACAGUAACCAGUAAUUCAGAAAUUGGUAUUCGUGGUUACUAUAAUGAGACUAUAGAAACGUGUCCUUUCUUCUUUGCAAAUGGCCUGCAUUUAUGUCCAAGCCAAAACUGGAACUUCUGAAUAAUUUAGAUUUAUUCUUGUUUAUUCUUGUUAUUACGUAUAAAAUACUUGAUCUACAGUAUCCCAUAAGGAAUGAUACUGUAUCACACCUAACCAAGUGCCUUAAGAAACAUCAACAUGAUAUCACAGUAAUCACGUAUCGACUGAUAUUUGUAGCCACUUCACUAUCUAUGACACUGGUAGUAAUUAUAGGAAUAAUAAUGAUGUUCUACAAGAGGAAAUGAUGAUUAGGAACAAAAACUUACAGGAGACAUCAUCCGGUGGGUGGAUAAUAUGUAAAAAAAUAUCAAGCAGUAUAUGAAUUUUCAUAUUGCAUAGAGAUAACAAAAUGAAUUUUAAAAAAAUGUCGACAUAGUAAUAAGAAAUAGCAUCAUGACAAAGAAUAUAUAAACACAAUUUCAUUUUUUAUAAAUAAAGUUUCAUUGUUUCAGAUUUUGAAAUAUAGUGGAACGUUUAAUUAGUAUCUUAAUAUCUUUAAACAAUUAUUAUUUUAGAAUCAAUUGUAAUUGUAUCAUACGUGCUUUUGAAUUCAUGCAAGAACAUAUGUAAUUUUGAACUAGUUAUUAUUAGGAAAUUGUUAGAUGCGAACAGUACGCGAAAAGCUGUAGUGUAAUAAUUAUCAAUCAAAACACAAGAAUUAAAUUCUUUAGGAAAAAACGAAAGCUGAAUUUCUUAUUUACAUGUUUAUAAAGAAAUCCAUAAUGAAAAGGAGUUGCUUUCUAAUACUUCUCUUCCUUGUAAUGCCUAUGUUAAUAAUAACGAGGUUCGAUUUUUUGUUUUUAGAGGGAUACUGGAAGAUUUGAAAGCACAGUACCAUUGCGAAGAAAAUCACGAUAUUGAAAACGAUAUUUGCAAAUUAAACAAUAUUCCAGAUUUGUUCGUAAUUUUAUACUACGCGAAGAAUAGACUCAUACAUAUAUAAAGGAAAUAUUAAGUAUAGGAAAACUCUUUUACGUUGUAGGUGACAUAUGCUUCACGGUUGAACGUAUUUUUAAACACAUAUAAAUGAAAAAGUACUCUUGUGGAGAAGAAGAAUUGAUACCUUCGAUUGACAUUAGAUAAUGUAUAUAAACUUAUGAACAAUCACUAUCAGUUUGUAUUUUAAGGGUACGCACAGAUUUAUUGGAGUUCUCAUAAAAUGUACUUCCUGUACGAACGUUUUAUUCUUCCAAAUUUUGGAUUAAACGUAAUAUAAAUGAUCCGAAAAUUGACUCGAACGACAUUAAUUGUCUUUUUAUUUAUACCAAUACCGAAAAUACAAGUAAAGCUGGAACAAUAAUAUGCAGGAAUGGACUAUUUAUUAUUUUAAACCAAAUCAUAACAUCAUAUUCAGAAUGCACAGUAUUAUUAUGAAAUGUAAAUGAAUCAGUUGUAAACGAACGAAUUUACUGUAAAAUCAUUGCCUCCUUUCUUUCAUCUGAAAUAUAGCAACAAGUACUCAUUCUUUUCAUAUAUAAUAAAACGAGAUAUCUUUAUAAAGUUACAUAUGCCAUCACUGGUAACUGUUAUCUCGUAUGACACCAAAUAUACCAUUAAUAUGGAAUGAUAUUUUUAUGAAGAUAUACUUUACUGAUAAAUUUGGGAAACGUUAUAUAAGAAAAAUUAUCUCUUCUAAUUCUAUGAAGUGUAGUAGCUAAUGAAGUUUAAUUUUACGAAGAAUUAGAACAAAAGAGAAUUAAAAAAUUAAAAAGAUCAAAAUAAGAUUGUUUGUAUGGCUUAAUUAUCUCAAUUCUGGUACACCACUUGUUACAUUCUAACUAAUUAGCGCUAAACAAUAACUUGCAAAUAUUAAAGAUAUUAACACCUUAUUGUCCAUUUUUCAGGAAGUUUUAUAAUAUUUGAUUGCUGUAUAUCUAGUCAUUGAUAAAUAAAAUUUCUUGUAUAAGCAUAGAUCAAGGUUGAGGUCAUACGCAGAUUGCAUUACAGGUAUCGUUUUAAUUUAUUUUAUGACUAGAAUCAUUAUUUGAAUAAUAUACGAAUAAUUAUUACCAUUCGAACGAUUAAUAAAUCACGUACCUAUAAAAGAUAUAUUAUGAAAAAGACAUGACGAAACAAAAAAUAUUGGAAAUUCCAUUGUCAUUAGAUCAAUUAUUUUUGCAAUGAUUUUUAUAUCCAUGUAAUUACAUGUGAAAUAGGUAAUCCGUUAACAUUUCCUCGAAUCGAAUAUAAUUCGUUACACUUCACAACGAUUCAAAUAAUGGGAAAUAUAUAAUAACUUUUCCGUCCUUGCGUUAACAUAGUACUGUACAAAUCAAAUGAUACAGGAAAUACCCAAAAACCCAAUUACAUCCACAAUGCAUGACAUCACACUUGCAAUGGAUUUUUGUGAUUUCAAUGUCACAGACAAUAACACAACUAAUCAGAAUACGUUCGAGGCUAUAGACAUUGAAAUUAUCGCGUGUUUAAUACGUGUAAAGCAUAAAUUUCACGCGAUUAUUUCUUUGUACAUUGUGAAACUUUUAAAUCAUCUUAAUCGAAUAAAUAAUCCUAAUGUAAUAAAACAUCUUGAAAUAGACCUAUAUCUGAAACCUAUAUAUCUGAAACAGAAACUCGAAGGAUAAGAAAUCCUAAAAGGAACUAAUUCUAAAAUAACAAACUCUUAAAUAAUAAAUAAGUAAUAAAACCUGUUAUAAAUAAUAAACCUUACCUGGA
rnacentral:lncRNA from 11 species